rnacentral:rRNA from 1 species
GAUGAACGCUGACAGAAUGCUUAACACAUGCAAGUCAACUUGAAUUUGGGUUUUUAACUUAGGUUUGGGUGGCGGACGGGUGAGUAACGCGUAAAGAACUUGCCUCACAGCUAGGGACAACAUUUGGAAACGAAUGCUAAUACCUAAUAUUAUGAUAAUAGGGCAUCCUAUAAUUAUGAAAGCUAUAAGCGCUGUGAGAGAGCUUUGCGUCCCAUUAGCUAGUUGGAGAGGUAGCGGCUCACCAAGGCGAUGAUGGGUAGCCGGCCUGAGAGGGUGAUCGGCCACAAGGGGACUGAGACACGGCCCUUACUCCUACGGGAGGCAGCAGUGGGGAAUAUUGGACAAUGGACCAAGAGUCUGAUCCAGCAAUUCUGUGUGCACGAUGAAGUUUUUCGGAAUGUAAAGUGCUUUCAGUUGGGAAGAAAGAAAUGACGGUACCAACAGAAGAAGUGACGGCUAAAUACGUG